rnacentral:rRNA from 1 species
GUGGGGAAUAUUGGGCAAUGGGCGAAAGCCUGACCCAGCAACGCCGCGUGAAGGAAGAAGGCCCUCGGGUUGUAAACUUCUUUUAAGAGGGACGAAAGAAAUGACGGUACCUCUUGAAUAAGCCACGGCUAACUACGUGCCAGCAGCCGCGGUAAUACGUAGGUGGCGAGCGUUAUCCGGAUUUACCGGGGGUAAAGGGCGUGUAGGCGGGAGGGCAAGUCAGAUGUGAAAAUUAUGGGCUCAACCCAUAACCUGCAUUUGAAACUGUUCUUCUUGAGUGAUGGAGAGGCAGGCGGAAUUCCGUGUGUAGCGGUGAAAUGCGUAGAUAUACGGAGGAACACCAGUGGCGAAGGCGGCCUGCUGGACAUUAACUGACGCUGAGGCGCGAAAGCGUGGGGAGCAAACAGGAUUAGAUACCCUAGUAGUCC